ACCUGGCUGGCUUAGCUGGUAGAGCAUGUGACUCCUGAUCUUAGGGUCGUGAGUUCGAGCCCCACGUUGGACG
rnacentral:tRNA from 1 species